rnacentral:misc_RNA from 1 species
GAUGAAGAACGUAGCGAAAUGCGAUCAGUAAUGUGAAUUGCAGAAUUCAGUGAAUCAUCGAAUCUUUGAACGCAUCUUGCGCUCCUUGGUAUUCUGAGGAGCAUGCCUGUUUGAGUGUCAUUAAAUUCUCAACUACACUGACUUUGAAUUGGUGUGGCUUGGAUUUGGGGGGAAAAUUGUUGUGGGCUUUUUGUAUAGUCUGCUCCCCUGAAAUUGAUUAGCGGUACCUUUGUGGAACUGUCUACAGGUGUGAUAAUUAUCUACAUCUUAGACAUCUGCUGGAAUGCUGCUUUCUAAACCUUACUUGUAUUGACAAUCUUGACCUCAAAUCAGGUAGGACUACCCGCUGAACUUAAGCAUAUCAAUAAGCGGAGGA